CACGAUCCUCCUAGAAGCAUGCUGGGAGGAUGACUGUGGGCGAUGGAAGAGAAGCAAUGGACCCAUGGAGAAAUUGAUUGCAGAAGACAAGAGUCGAUCUGGAAUCCAUAACAGAGGAUGUGAAUGCGCUGACAUAGUGAGGAGUCAUCUGGGCGUCACAUUCUACAGACAGAAGUUUUAGCUGGACCAGGCGUAUUGCGCGGCCAUAAGACUACCUUUACCAGUUUGGAGGUCUCUACCAGGAUAAACUCUACUCUCAAUAAGUGAAGGUGUUCAGAUAUUGAAAGCAGAAUUUCGAUGGUGGUGGAAGAUGAAGUGAACACAGUUAAAACAUAAGAGAAAAAAAUAUUAUAUGAAAAUAAAAUGUUAUGCCAAAAAGUUACGUAUUUGGAAGACAGGUCACGGAGGUGCAAUUUGAGGAUAG